UACGAGGGGUGCAAGCGUUGCUCGGAAUUAUUGGGCGUAAAGGGUAGGUAGGUGGUCUCAUUUGUCUGGGGUGAAAUCCUUGAGCUUAACUCAAGAAGUGCCCCAGAAACGGUGAGACUUGAGUACUGGAGAGGGUCGUGGAAUUCCGGGUGGAGCGGUGAAAUGCGUAGAGAUCCGGAGGAACACCGACGGCGUAGGCAGCGCCCUGGACGACACCUGACGCUGAGGCACGAAAGCUGGGGGGAGCGAACAGG
rnacentral:rRNA from 1 species